GGGAGGCAGCAGGGGGGAAUCUUAGACAAUGGGCGCAAGCCUGAUCUAGCCAUGCCGCCGUGAGUGAUGAAGGCCUUAGGGUCGUAAAGCUCUUUCGCCUGUGAUGAUAAUGACAGUAGCAGGUAAAGAAACCCCGGCUAACUCCGUGCCAGCAGCCGCGGUAAUACGGAGGGGGUUAGCGUUGUUCGGAAUUACUGGGCGUAAAGCGCACGUAGGCGGAUUGGAAAGUUGGGGGUGAAAUCCCGGGGCUCAACCCCGGAACUGCCUCCAAAACUAUCAGUCUAGAGUUCGAGAGAGGUGAGUGGAAUUCCAAGUGUAGAGGUGAAAUUCGUAGAUAUUUGGAGGAACACCAGUGGCGAAGGCGGCUCACUGGCUCGAUACUGACGCUGAGGUGCGAAAGUGUGGGGAGCAAACAGGAUUAGAUACCCUGGUAGUCCACACCGUAAACGAUGAAUGCCAGUCGUCGGGCAGUAUACUGUUCGGUGACACACUAACGGAUUAAGCAUUCCGCCUGGGGAGUACGGUCGCAAGAUUAAAACUCAAAUGGAAUU
rnacentral:rRNA from 1 species